GGACGGUUGAGCCUAUUGCACCUUCCUUUCUGGCCAGUACUUAAGAUUCCUGGAAAUCUGAGGAGCAGUCUUUGGCGGCCGAAGAAUGCAAUUCUCCCCGGAGGUGUGGUAUCUCGCAUGAAGGGGACUGAAGUAGGAUCAGCUGGUAUCCAAGAAGCACAACUUCAAGAUAUUCAGGAGUGCUUUGGAGUGAACCGGCAGGAAGCCUUGCAAUACCACAGUGGCAGUAAGAGUGGCUGUCCUCUGGAGAUGCUGAAGCUCAGCUUUAUUUUGAACUUCUUUCUUACACUUCCCAACUUGUGCACAAAGGCCUUAACAUUGACUAGGAUUCAUAUGGUAUAAAAUAGUC